UCGCGGGACCCCCACACUCCUCCCGCUUCCGGUGCGGCUCCCGCACAGCAGCCAGCUCCGGAACACUAAGGGAGGGUGCAGGCGAGCAGGGUACUCCGGCCGGGCUGGUCAAGAGGCGAGGCCGAGGGGAGGUGGGGAAGGAGAGGUGGGAGGAGGGCCUCGGAGGCGGAGAAGAGGGGCGGGCGCGGUGGGAGCUGUGUGCGGGCUGCGGCGCGGGCGGGCGCAGGGACGCGAUGUCGCCGCCGCUGCCGCCUCCUCGUGGGCCGGGGCUGCGCCGCCGGGGCUGAGCCGCAGCCCCAGCCGCUAGGCGAGCGGCCGCCGGGCGCACCCGCAGCGCGGGAGGAUGGGCUGCGGCGGGAGCCGGGCCGAUGCCAUCGAGCCUCGCUACUACGAGAGCUGGACCCGGGAGACCGAGUCCACCUGGCUCACCUACACCGACUCGGACGCGCCGCCCAGCGCCGCCGGCCCAGACAGCGGCCCCGAGGCGGGCGGCCUGCACGCGGGCUAAGCGAGACGCUAAGAGAAUGUCUGCAAAAGAAGUCACCAUCAACGUUACAGACAGCAUCCGACAGGUGGACAGAAGUAAAAGAAUCACAAAGAACUGCGUCAACUAGCCGAGUGUCCAAACACAAGGGCAGGUGGACUUCUUCGGUGACUUCAUGAUAUUGAUUCCUGUCGGUGAAAGUUGAAAAAGUGGGGACCACUUACUGACCAUGAACGCUGCUGAGUGCCUUGUGGGACUGUCUUACCCCACAGCAAAUGCCUGCCUGAGCUGUUGGGUCCUCUGAGCCUCUUGUUUAGCACGUGAAUGCAUUAACAGUCCUCACCUUUGUGAAUAACCUGCAAAUGUGCCCUUCAGUUUGCCUCUUUGCAUCUCCUGGAGUAGGGAGUGGGGGUACAGUGGUGAGCUGGAGCCACAGGUCAGUUUGUGAAAGAGGAAAAUAAGAGUAGAUUUCCUGGGUGAAAAAGUUGCACAUCAGUGCCAAGCUCUUCUGAGCACAGUAGUGUGAAUUUCAGGCAAGCUUACCCUUUCAUUCUUUAUUUUUAAACAUCACCAUCACAAAGCGUACUGUGUUCGCCUAAAAGCUGGCUUUCCUCCAACUGUAAACCCAGAUCGAUGUGAAAUCAGGAAACAGGAAAAGUCCCGGUUAUUCUCAUUUCCUUAGCUCACAAUCAGACCAGAUCCUGUUUCACACACACUAACUCCAGCAGGCAAGGCCCAUGGCGUGUCCUUGGGAAGUCUGUGUGAUGCUGUCACACCUGCUCCUCCCCUGCCUCCAAACCACAGGAUCAGUCUGUGGCGUCAUGUCAUAUAAAGUGGCCAUGCAUCCAGCCUGGGACACCACUCAGGGCUCAGGCAGACACUGCGUAUUUCAUAGCUUUCUGGUUCCCUUUGCUUGUCUUAGUAGUUUUCUCUCUCCAGUUGAGUCACUCACUACGGUUAAUUGAAAACUAGACACUGCUCACAGGAGAGAGAUAGUCUAGGGACCUGUGGCAGCACAUGGAGCUUUCUCUGUCCACAGCCCCAGGACUGGGUCAUUUUGGCAUCUGUAAAGGAACUACUUUAGAAAGACAGCACCUGCUGGAUGUGUAUUCACAUUGAUAUUAGACUAAUGUGCACUGUGUUACAGAUCAGGUAGUUGACACAGUAAAAUGAUGUUCUGAUAGAAAAAGUUUUUCUAGCAUUUCCUUAAACAUGUUCAGCUGGAAGUAUUUUCUUCCAAAAUAACGUAGCAUGAUUUUUAAAGAACUGCUAACAAGUCUGGGAUUGGGAAAAGUAGGACUAAAGUUGUACCAAACUAUACCAAUAAACUCCAUGUUUAGCAGAAAUAGGCAGCUUGAUGGUAUGUGUUUAUGUAACAUAGUCCCGAGAACUGACCUACGAGGUUAAAAUUCAGUUACUCAGUGGCGCACCUACUAACUCUGGUAUUCCUCAGACACCAGAGGAUAAUGUCUUCCUUUCUUGUUUCCCUCCCUCCCUCCCUUCCUCCUUUUCUUCCUCCUGCUGAUAGAUUUUAUACUUAUUCAUUAAACAUUAAGUGCCCACUUUAUGCCAGUUACUGUGCAGAUGUUGAGAGAUGUGGGGUCAGGCCUCUUGCGACCUUAUAUCCAGAAUCUACCAGUAGGCCUAACAAGUAGGACUGACUUAGCGACACUAAGGUGUAGUGUGUGUUGUGAAUUACUCUGCAAUGGAGUCUUGCUUUUAUAGUAGGGUUGAUGUGUGUCCUAAAUGACAGAUCUGGGUGUUCUCAUCAUCAUUGUACAAGCCUUUACCAUACACAAAACUACAAGUUUUCCUAAACCUCUCUCAUUUUGAUUCCUUGAAAAAGGGCUUUUAAGGACUUCACAUUCUGAAAAAAAAUUUUAACUUUUAUUAUUUUAAAGCAAAACCUGUGACUCAUAUGUCCCUAGUGGCAUUACUCAGCAGGAGUCCCCAACUCUAAAGGUUGGCAAUGAUCCUGCAAGUUCAAGGGCUUGUUCUCCCAGGGCAUGUGUGUUUUGCUUUGUGUAAGGCGUUCUUUCACCAGUCGCUGUGCUGUGAGCCAUGGGCUAAGCCUAGUUUCUCUUUCCACUCUGUUUUUGCCUCAGUUCACUGCUACAGGUUAUUUGGAAUUCAGCAGCUUGAGAAGGUGGCUCUGUUUAUCCAGAAACACUUUUUCGCCUCUAGGGGAGAAGGGAAUGAAGGACAUGUGAUCUGGCCCUCCCCAGAACCAUCUGGGUCUCUCUGAGACAGUGACCAGAAGCUAAAUCAAGUUACUGGAAAUUCAUCUGGCAGCUUCUCCGUGUGUAUAUGAGACAGGCAUUGAUUCUUGCUAUCCCGUUGGGAAAACACUUUCCACUGCAAAGUUUGUGUCAAUAAAGUCAUUAAUUUCAAACAUA